AGAAUCUUUGAAUUUUUGAAGCAUAUGUAAUGAAGCAUUAUUUUAAGAACUAGGAGAAGCUGCUUUUAUAUAAAUGUGAGUUUGUACAACUUCUGUGUUUCUUCCUUUGGCGAUAAGAAUUUAUUGCUUGGAACUGCAGAAUUCUCCUUUUUCUCUGCUUAUGUUUGGAACUAAUCUUGCUUUCUGAAAACCAUUAGUGUUUGUAUAAUGGUGGUGUAUCUGCCUCAAGGUUGGAAUUGGUCUUGCUUCCUUCCUUUGAGAAAUGGAAAUGAAAAUUCAUAUACAAUUGAAGUAAUUGUUUAUGAUUAUUUUAUGUGACAACAGAGAAUUCAAUUGUGUUACUCUGCUGAUUUUCCUUGCUUAAAUGUUGGAAAACCAAAAGGACCAUCAUAUGUGCCCCUUGAGGUUUUUGAGCUCAUUCUACUUCACUUUUUUUAAAUUUUUUUUGAAAGAACCUUUAUUUUUAUCCUGACAAAUUUGGCAAACUAUUCAGUUCUGCUCCUUAGUUUCACUACAAAGAUAUACCAAAUCACUGUCAACAUUUCAACAAGCUUCCCUGGUGGAAAAGUCAAGGCUGAAGCCUUAUGAAUGAAUAAGUGUCCUCAGUGAGCGUUAGCAUUGCCACUACUUUUACUCAAAUAGAAGGCAUAGUAUUGCAACCUCCCCGGCUCAGAGUAGGCAAUGGAGAGGACUUUAUUCCAUCAAGGGGGAGAUGGAAUUUUAACCAAAAGGUGUUUUUUUUUUCUUUCAAUGAGUUUAUUAUUGUAGUUAAAAUAUAUACCUCUUUCAGAAAUUGAUGGAGCCGUCUCAAAUCACCCGUUGGGUUGUUGUUAAUUUUUUAGCUCGACGUGAUGUUUCAAGCCUCAUACAUGACAUGCGCAAAUGCACAAAUAUGAAGCGCAUUGUAUGUUUUGACAUUACUUUUUUCCCAUGGAGUUUUAAAUGCAGGGACAAAUAUUUUUAACCAAAUUUGUCAUCCAAGGAA